CUGCCUGUGCUGCACAGCAGCUUCCCACUUGUCACGUUAUAUAUGGUAGUGUGCGCUGAAGCGCACGCGGUUGCAAAGACUUGGACAUGACUUGGCGCCUGAACGACAAGUGUACAUGUGUCAGUGCCGCUUUCUCGAUUCAUCCUACGGGAGAGCUGGCUCUGAGUCAGCUGAGGAACCAGCUCCAUUUAGUCACAUGCUCAUUCUGGACGGCCUGACGGAACACACAGAGGGCGCACAGGCACAGGCCUGCUCCAGCUGUCUGAAUUCCUGUAUGCUGAAGGGCGGGGUUACGUUCUUAAUGUUGUCCGGGGGCCUGCGUAACACUAUGUGCAGCCGUGUCCUAAUCUCUUCUAUGUUGCUGCCACUUAAGAGUGGAGUGUGGGUGCUGUAUUUGAGCAGGAGUGUAUUACAUUACCUAUGUCUGGGGCUGUGCAUGUGGGUCAGAGUCAGGGGAUGGGGGGCAAUGGCAGUUGAUGGGGAGAGGAAGUGAUUCAGGAGCUGGGUUUGCUCUGUUUAUGUUUCUGCUUUUUAUGCAAAGUACUGGUAACUUAUAUUGUCAGAGGACUGAUUAAAAAGGUAUACGAAAUUUCCUUAAUAUGGUCUGAAAUUCACUUUGUUUUAUUUAUUUAUUUUUGGCCAUGCCACAUGGCAUGUGAAAUCUUAGUUCCCCAACCAGGGAUCAGACCUGCACCCCUCUGCAUUGGUAGGUGAAAUCUUAACUGCUGGACCUCCCCACUUUGUUCUAUUCUUUGAUGUGUAAGAUGUGAGAGUAUGGAGAGCGGAAGAUGAAAUGCCAGGCCAUCUUGAACAGCCUGAGGUCAGCUCUCAGAAAUUAGAUGUUGAGUAUUCAGCCAUCACCACCCAUGUCAUGACUGAGCGACUGAACUGAACUGAACCCAUGUAUUUGUGGGCUUCCCAGGUUACGCUGGUGGUAAAGAACACCUGCCAAUGCUGCAGACAUACGAGACUUGAGUUCAGUCCCUGGGUCGGAAAGAUCCCCUGGAGAAGGGCACAGCAGCCCACUCCAGUAUUCUUGCCUGGAGAAUCCCAUGGAGGGAGGAGCCUGGUGGGCUACAGUCCAUGGGGUUGCAAAGAGUCGAACAGGACU
ensembl:lncRNA